UACGUAGGGUGCAAGCGUUGUCCGGAAUUAUUGGGCGUAAAGAGCUCGUAGGCGGUCUGUCGCGUCUGCUGUGAAAUCCCGGGGCUCAACCCCGGGCUUGCAGUGGAUACGGGCAGACUAGAGUUCGGUAGGGGAGAUCGGAAUUCCUGGUGUAGCGGUGAAAUGCGCAGAUAUCAGGAGGAACACCGGUGGCGAAGGCGGAUCUCUGGGCCGAUACUGACGCUGAGGAGCGAAAGCGUGGGGAGCGAACAGG
rnacentral:rRNA from 1 species